GUGGGAGGGGGCUUGCUCCCGAUGGCGGUAGGUCAGUCGGUUAUAUGCCGACUGGUACACCGCUAUCGGGGGCAAGCCCCCUCCCAC
rnacentral:misc_RNA from 1 species